ensembl:lncRNA
GUGGCUCAGUGGUAAAGAAUCUGCCUGCCAGUGCAGGAGGUGAGGGUUCAAUUCCUGGGUUGGGAAGAUCCCCUGGAGAAGGAACUGACAAUCCACUCCAGUGCUCUGUGCCUGGAAAAUUCCAUGGACAGAGAGAAGCCCAGCGGGCUACAAUCCCUGGGGUUGCAAAAGAAUCGGACACAACUUAGCAACUAAACAACAACAACAACUGAGAACUGAUCCCCACAGAGCUUCCAGGUGCGCAGCUUAACUUGGGCAGCAACACAAUUCCUGUGUGACCGGGAUUUCUGAGGUUUAAGAGGACAUACGAGAUCCCCACGCUCAACUAUGAGUUUGCAGUUUCAAGAGACUUACACCCCGGUGGCUCAGAUGGUAAAGCGUCUGCCUACAAUGCAGGAGACCCCGGUUUGAUCUCUGGGUCACGAAGAUCCCCUGGAGAAGGAAAUGGCUACCCACUCCAGUACUCUUGCCUGGAAAAUCCCAUGGAUGGAGGAGCAUGGUAGGCUACAGCCCAUGGGGUCGCAAAGAGUUGGACCCCACUGAGCAACUUCAUUUC